rnacentral:tRNA from 1 species
CCCUCGAUAGCUCAGUUGGCAGAGCGAAGGACUGUAGAUGUUACAACGGUUAUCCUUAGGUCGCUGGUUCAAAUCCGGCUCGAGGGA